rnacentral:rRNA from 1 species
GACGAACGCUGGCGGCGUGCCUAAUACAUGCAGGUUGAGCGCUGAAGGUUGGUACUUGUACCAACUGGAUGAGCAGCGAACGGGUGAGUAACGCGUGGGGAAUCUGCCUUUGAGCGGGGGACAACAUUUGGAAACGAAUGCUAAUACCGCAUAAAAACUUUAAACACAAGUUUUAAGUUUGAAAGAUGCAAUUGCAUCACUCAAAGAUGAUCCCGCGUUGUAUUAGCUAGUUGGUGAGGUAAAGGCUCACCAAGGCGAUGAUACAUAGCCGACCUGAGAGGGGGGUCGGCCACAUUGGGACUGAGAAACGGCCCAAACGCCUACGGGAGGCAGCAGUAGGGAAUCUUCGGCGAUGGACGAAAGUCUGACCGAGAAGCGCCGCGUGAGUGAAGAAGGAUUUCGGAUCGUAAAACUCUGUUGGUAGGGAAGAACGUUGGUGAGAGUGGAAAGCUCAUCAAGUGACGGUAACUACCCAGAAAGGGACGGCUAACUACGUG